UGGCACCUCGAGCGGAAACGAGUUAUCUGAACCUUCGGGGAACGAUAACGGCGUCGAGCGGCGGACGGGUGAGUAAUGCCUAGGAAAUUGCCCUGAUGUGGGGGAUAACCAUUGGAAACGAUGGCUAAUACCGCAUGAUGCCUACGGGCCAAAGAGGGGGACCUUCGGGCCUCUCGCGUCAGGAUAUGCCUAGGUGGGAUUAGCUAGUUGGUGAGGUAAGGGCUCACCAAGGCGACGAUCCCUAGCUGGUCUGAGAGGAUGAUCAGCCACACUGGAACUGAGACACGGUCCAGACUCCUACGGGAGGCAGCAGUGGGGAAUAUUGCACAAUGGGCGCAAGCCUGAUGCAGCCAUGCCGCGUGUAUGAAGAAGGCCUUCGGGUUGUAAAGUACUUUCAGUCGUGAGGAAGGCGGCGUCGUUAAUAGCGGCGUUGUUUGACGUUAGCGACAGAAGAAGCACCGGCUAACUCCGUGCCAGCAGCCGCGGUAAUACGGAGGGUGCGAGCGUUAAUCGGAAUUACUGGGCGUAAAGCGCAUGCAGGUGGUUUGUUAAGUCAGAUGUGAAAAGCCCGGGGCUCAACCUCGGGAAUAGCAUUUUGAAAACUGGGCAGACUAGAGUACUGUAGAGGGGGGGUAGGAAUUUUCAGGUUGUAGCGGGUGAAAUGCGUAGAGAUUCUGAAGGGAAUUACCGGGUGGGCGGAAGCCGGCCCCCCUGGAACAGGAUAACUGACCACUCCAAGAUGCGAAAAGCGGUGGGGGAGCAAACCAGAAUAAGAAUACCCCUGGUUAGUCCACCGCCGGUAAAACGAUUGUCUACCUUGGGAGGGUUGUGUGGCCCUGAAGCGUGGCUUUUCGGAGCUUACGGCGUUAAGUAAGACCGCCUGGGGGAGUACGGUCCGCAAGAAUUAAAACUCAAAUGAAUUGACGGGGGCCCGCACAAGCGGUGGAGCA
rnacentral:rRNA from 1 species